GCUUAAAGGGGCCGUAGCUGGCUGAACAAGUCCCCUGUUAAACCCACCGAUUUAAUCGUUGGCUUGCGGGGGAUACUGCUCGGCUAGGGGACGAGAGAGGCAGACGGUAUUCCCGGGGUAGGGGUGAAAUCCUAUAAUCCCGAGAAGACCACCAGUGGCGAAGGCUGUCUGCUAGAACGCGCCCGACGGUGAGGGAUGAAAGCUGGGGGAGCGAACCGGAUUAGAUACCCGGGUAGUCCCAGCUGUAAACGAUGCAGGCUAGGUGUUUGGACGGCCACGUGCCGUUCUAGUGCCGCAGGGAAGCUGUUAAGCCUGCCGCCUGGGGAGUACGGUCGCAAGAUUGAAACUUAAAGGAAUUGGCGGGGGAGCACCACAAGGGGUGAAGCUUGCGGUUUAAUUGGAGUCAACGCCGGAAAUCUCACCAGGAGCGACAGCAGAGUGAAGGCCAGAUUAAAGGUCUUGCUGGACGAGCUGAGAGGAGGUGCAUGGCCGUCGCCAGUUCGUGCCGUGAGGUGUCCUGUUAAGUCAGGCAACGAUCGAGACCCGCGUCCUCUGUUGCUACCAGUCUUGUGCUGGGCACACUGAGGAGACCGCCACUGAUAAAGUGGAGGAAGGAGCGGGCCACGGCAGGUCCGUAUGCCCCUAA
rnacentral:rRNA from 1 species